AAACCAAAAUGCUUUCUAAACAUUAUUUUGUAGCAGCUUGAUUAACUUGACAAAACCAAGAUUGAGCAGAACUUAGAGUUCUCUAACUCUGUUCUAUUGCAGGAUGCUAGGAAAGCGUGUGCAGAUGCCACCUUGGCUCAGAUCACAGCCAAUAUUGACCCGGUGGGGAGAAUUCAGAUGCGCACCAGGAGAACACUCCGGGGGCACCUGGCCAAAAUUUAUGCAAUGCACUGGGGGACUGAUUCCAGGUGGGUUCACUGUGCUGUGGGAAGUUGGGUGCAUCCAACUGUUACUUACCUGUUCUGCCACAAGGAUCCCCAAGUUCAAAAAGAUCGUAGGCAACCGAGAAAGCUUGGAACCACUUGAUGUAACUUUUUUUCUUCCUGGUAUGUGUGGUUUUGUCAUCAGAAUCUAAAUUUAUUUUUAAAAUGGGGUUCUCAGACUCUUUGGCAAAAGUGCACUGUGACAGCUGCAAGAUAUAAGCUGGAU